GCGUUGGUGGUGCAACGGUUCAGUACACGCUCCAGUAAGGAGUGAGAUCUGGGUUUGAAUCCCAGCUGACGCC